GUGCGUGGUGGGGGAGACCAUCCCUGCCGCCUGCAGCGUUGACUCCCGGCACCAUUUGGGUGCAGGGACCCAGCUGACACUUCUUACUUCGGGUCCUGCCUCUCCAGGAGCAGUCUGCAACUUGCCAGCGUCCAGGCAGGACGGCAGCGGCUGAGCAGAGGAGAGAGGAGGAGUGAGUCUCCCGUUCUCACCCGGGGAGCGGUUGCCUCGUGAGUCCGAAGAGAAUCAGCUCUUUCGUUUUGCGCAGGUGGAGAUCUCGGGGGCCCAGUUUGGAGUCCUGCAAACCGUGAGUGU
rnacentral:lncRNA from 1 species